CACCGCCAUUCAAGUGUGUCUGUCGUCAGGAUCGUAUUAAACUAGACUAUAAAAUGCCUGUUAGCGAGUAUUUGUUUUUGAUAAGUUGGUAAUUUAUUGUUAAGUAAUAUUUGAUUUUGUAGUAAAUCGAUUAAGAAUAAGUAUUGAAAACUUAAACUUAACUGUGAUUGUUUAAUAAAAGGGUUAACAUACAUUUAGUCGUGUGAUCAAAUGUUCAUAAAAAAACUGAAAUGGCGACCAAUCUGUGGUAUAUCUGUUCUGUGUGCAUGGAAAAUGGAAGAUUAACAGAUACAGAUAUCCAUUGUCAGAAUUGUGGCAAAUAUUACUGUGACGAGUGUUUGUCACUCCACAAUCAGAUGUACAAGAAACACACGACUCAUGGAAUAUAUGAAAAUGAAAAAUGGCCGGGCGCCAAGGGCGUGGAGGAGCUAUUUACGCAAUGUAAGGAACACGGAGGGAACCAUAUUAAAAAGUUCUGUAAGGACCACAGUCAGUUAUGCUGUUCAACGUGUGUACUGAUUGAUCACAGACAUUGUAACCAGGUAACCCAAAUUUCUAGCAAACAACUAAAAAAGACUUAUGCAGAUUUGCAAAAGCUGAAACCAAAAAUUACUGAUACCAAACAACGUUUACAGAAACUGAUUGAACAAAGAGAAUGGAAUAUCCAGUCACUUGAAGAUACAUACGAAUAUAUUUUAGAAGAAAUCGAGCUUUGGCGUCAAAAAAUAAAUAAAAUGUUAGAUUCGCUAAUGCAGCGUACUAUCGAAGAAGGAAAUGCUUUGUUUAACAACCUGCAAGAAACGCUUCAAACUGAAGUAGAUCAAUGUAAAAAGGUUUUACAGACGAUUCAAUCCCUUCACGUAGCGACCGAUAGAAUAGGACGAAACGAUUCAGAAUUGUGUACGAUUGCGUUCAUGAAAAUUAAAAAAACAGUUGUCAUUUUCCGACGCAUUAUUACGGAAAGGUGCCAUAAAUUUGGGUACCACAUUAUCAUUUACUCCAAUCAAAGCACUUAAAACAUAUCUGUUAACAAUGACAACAUUUGGUAAUAUCGUAUCUAAUCAUUCGUGUUCAGCCAUUACAAUAGAACAUAAACAACAAUAUAAUGUAAAACUUAGCGGUGAAUCUGCAUGUAUGAUACGGGGCAUUUGCGAGAUGCCAAAUGGCAAUAUCAUUAUUGCCGAUGACUCAAACAAGAAGGUGAAGAUGCUGGAUAAAAACUACCGCGUUAUCUGUCAGUGUGUUUUGUCAUCAUCUCCAGUGUCCGUUUGCAAGAUUUCAGACGAUUCCUUGGCUGCAGCCGUAUAUGACUGGACAAACUUUCAUGAGAUUAAUUUUCUUGCCGUGACUAGUGAUGAAAAUUUGGUUAAAACGAGCGCUUUUACACUUAACCACCCGUGCACUGGAGUCUGCCACAAUAUGGGACUGCUAUAUAUCACUUCCAGAACAGCAUUAUACCGUUACACUCUGACUGGUACGCUUGUGGACAAGAUGUAUGAAGACACUUCGAAUUUCAAUACAGUAUUCAGAUGUGCAUUGAAUACUCGGGAAGACAAAAUUUAUGUUCUCAACUGGGCUCAACAACAGGUCCUUACCCUGAACAUGUUUGGGCAAGUCUUAACAUCGUUCACUGACCCGGAACUUGAAACCCCUUACGACGUGCAUGUGUCUGAGUCAGGUCAUGUCUUGAUCGCCGGAUAUAGUUCCAAGAUAAUCAUUCAACUUAACAGCAAGGGGACGAAGAAGAUUGAUCAUGUAGUUUCACUAAAGGAAGGAAAUAACAUUUUGUAUGUGUGUGUGUUAAAACGAACUGGUUCUAUACUAGUAGGAAGCUACGGAACGGAUGAAAUUUUGGUGUUCAACACAAAAUAACUCUUUCUUAUGUACAUGUUUUAAUAUGUACCAUAUAAGUUUAUCAGCAAUUGCGUUUAAACAUUAAACAUUUCGAUUUACACAUCCCUAUGAUAACUACUUCAAUUGCAAAUAAUCAUCUCGUUGUCUU